UCCCCUAGUAACUGCGAGUGAAGCGGGAAGAGCUCAAAUUUCGAAUCUGGCGGUCCUUUGGCCCGUCCGAGUUGUAAUCUAGAGAAGCGUUUUCCAGCCCCGUGCCCGUGUACAAGUCUCCUGGAAGGGAGCAUCACAGAGGGUGAGAAUCCCGUCUUUGACACGGAUGCCAGUGCACCGCGAUGCGCUCUCGACGAGUCGAGUUGUUUGGGAAUGCAGCUCAAAAAGGGUGGUAAACUCCAUCUAAAGCUAAAUACCGGCGAGAGACCGAUAGCGAACAAGUACCGUGAGGGAAAGAUGAAAAGAACUUUGGAAAGAGAGUUAAACAGUACGUGAAAUUGCUGAAAGGGAAACGCUCGACGUCAGUCACGUCGUCCAGGGAUCAACCUUGCUUCGUCGCUCGGUGUAUUUCCUGUUCGGCGGGUCAGCGUCGGUCUCGCUCGUCGUACAAGGGCUGCGGGGAACGUGACACCCUCCGGGGUGUGUUAUAGCCUUGCGUCGCAUGCGCCGGGUCGGGACCGAGGAACUCGGCACGGCUUUCCUUAGCCUGUGCUUAGGACGCUGGCAUAAUGGCCUUGAGCGACCCGUCUUGAAACACGGACCAAGGAGUCUAACAUGCCUGCGAGCGUUCGGGUGGAAAACUCGAGCGCGCAAUGAAAGUGAAAGUC
rnacentral:rRNA from 1 species